ACUCAAAGGAAUUGACGGGGACCCGCACAAGCGGUGGAGCAUGUGGUUUAAUUCGAGGCAACGCGAAGAACCUUACCAGGCCUUGACAUGUCCAGUUUGAUCGCCAGAGAUGGCUUUCUUCACUUCGGGUGGCUGGAACACAGGUGCUGCAUGGCUGUCGUCAGCUCGUGUCGUGAGAUGUUGGGUUAAGUCCCGCAACGAGCGCAACCCUCGCCCUUAGUUGCCAUCAUUAAGUUGGGAACUCUAAGGGAACUGCCCGUGAUAAGCGGGAGGAAGGUGGGGACGACGUCAAGUCAUCAUGGCCCUUACGGCCUGGGCUACACACGUGCUACAAUGGUAGUGACAAUGGGCAGCGAUACCGCAAGGUUCAGCUAAUCCCCAAAAACUAUCUCAGUUCGGAUUGUCCUCUGCAACUCGAGGGCAUGAAGUUGGAAUCGCUAGUAAUCGUAGAUCAGCAUGCUACGGUGAAUACGUUCCCGGGUCUUGCACACACCGCCCGU
rnacentral:rRNA from 1 species